GGGUUAAGUCCGCAACGAGCGCAACCCUUACUCAUUAGUUGCUACGCAAGGGCACUCUAAUGAGACUGCCGGUGACAACCGGAGGAAGGUGGGGAUGACGUCAAGUCCUCAUGGCCCUUAUGGGUAGGGCUUCACACGUCAUACAAUGGUCGGUACAGAGGGUUGCCAAGCCGCGAGGCGGAGCCAAUCCCACAAAGCCGAUCGUAGUCCGGAUUGUUCUCUGCAACUCGAGAGCAUGGAGUCGGAAUCGCUAGUAAUCGCAGGUCAGCAUACUGCGGUGAAUACGCUCCCGGGUCUU
rnacentral:rRNA from 1 species